UCGUGUCGUGAGAUGUCGGUUAAGUCCGCUAACGAGCGCAACCCUCGCUGUGUGUUACAAGUGUCACACGGAACUGCCGGUCAUAAACCGGAGGAAGGUGGGAUGACGUCAAGUCAGCAUGGCCUUUAUAUCCUGGGCUACACACACGCUACAAUGGGAAGGGACAAUAGGUUGCGAAGCCGCGAGGCGGAGCCAAUCCAGCAAAACUUCCCUCAGUUCAGAUUGCAGGCUGCAACUCGCCUGCAUGAAGUUGGAGUUGCUAGUAAACGCAGGUCAGCCAUACUGCGUUGAAUACGUUCCCGGGCCUU
rnacentral:rRNA from 1 species